UACGUAGGAGACGAGCGUUGUCCGGAAUUACUGGGCGUAAAGCGCACGUAGGUGGUUUGUUAAGUCAGCUGUGAAAUCCCCGGGCUCAACCUGGGCACUGCAGUUGAAACUGGCAAGCUAGAGUAGGGUAGAGGGGUGUGGAAUUCCAGGUGUAGCGGUGAAAUGCGUAGAUAUCUGGAGGAACAUCAGUGGCGAAGGCGACACCCUGGACUCAUACUGACACUGAGGUGCGAAAGCGUGGGGAGCAAACAGG
rnacentral:rRNA from 1 species